GGGUUACGUGAUUCGUCAGAAAAAGGAAUGAUAGUUACUUUUUUCUCUAUAACAGGAUUGUUAGUUUCUCGUUGGGCUUCUCUGAGACAUUUUCCAUUAACUAAUUUAUAUGAGUCAUUGAUCUUUCUUUCAUGGGAUCUAUAUAUUCUCCACACCAUUCCUAAAAUGUAGAACUCUAAAAAUGAUUUAAGCACAAUAACUAUGCCAAGUACCAUUUUAACGCGAGGCCUUGCCACUUUGGGUCUUUUAACUGAAAUGCAUCAAUCCACGAUACUAAUACCUACCCUACAAUCUCAGUGAUUAAUGAUGCAUGUCACUAUGGUGUUAUUAAGCUAUGCAACUCUUUUGUGUGGAUCCUUAUUAUUUGCCGCUAUUAUAAUCAUUAGAUUUUGAAAUAAAUUCCAUUUCUUUUCUAAAAUGAAACUAAUGUUUUAGAUUAAACAUUUCUCUUUGGUGAGAUUAUAUUUUUGUGUGAAAAUAAGUGCUUUAAAAAGCACCUCGGUCCCUUCAUUUCUAACUUGCUAUUAAUAUCAAUUAAUAGAGUAUUUGGAUUCUGGGAGUUACUGUGUCAUUAGCCUAGGAUUUACCCUUUUAACCAUAGGUAUUCCCAGUAGAGCAUUAUGGGCUAAUGAGGCCUUGGGAUCCUAUACUCUUACAUGUUUGUUCUAUUGUUUCAAAAAAGUCUAA
rnacentral:rRNA from 1 species